GGCGAAAAUGUGACUUUUCUUAUUAGUUGUUUAUUUGCAUUUAUCUCGAAUUGGCGCUCGCGGACAACGCAGGUUUUUCGCUCACAACUAAGGAC
rnacentral:lncRNA from 1 species